rnacentral:ncRNA from 1 species
CCGUGCGAAUUGUAGUUUAAAGAAACGUUUUCGAGGCAGCUUUGGGUAUAAGUUCUUUGGAACAGGACAUCAUAGAGGGUGAGAAUCCCGUAUAUGAUCCAAAUGUCUGUCUUUUGUGAUACGUUUUCAAAGAGUCGGUUUGUUUGGGAAUGCAGACCAAAAUGGGUGGUAAAUACCAUCUAAAGCUAAAUACUGGCGAGAGACCGAUAGCGAACAAGUACCGUGAGG